UCUUGGAUAGCUCAGUUGGUAGAGCUUUCCACUUGAAAAGGAGAGGUACCUGGUUCGACACCAGGACCAGGCA
rnacentral:tRNA from 1 species